CUGAUGCGUUGUUGGGUAGGGGAGCGUUCUGUAAGCCUGUGAAGGUGUGUCGUGAGGCAUGCUGGAGGUAUCAGAAGUGCGAAUGCUGACAUAAGUAACGAUAAAGCGGGUGAAAAGCCCGCUCGCCGGAAGACCAAGGGUUCCUGUCCAACGUUAAUCGGGGCAGGGUGAGUCGACCCCUAAGGCGAGGCCGAAAGGCGUAGUCGAUGGGAAACGGGUUAAUAUUCCCGUACUUGGUGUUACUGCGAAGGGGGGACGGAGAAGGCUAUGUUGGCCGGGCGACGGUUGUCCCGGUUUAAGCGUGUAGGUGUGUGUUCCAGGUAAAUCCGGUUCACUUUAACACUGAGGCGUGAUGACGAGGCACUACGGUGCUGAAGCAACAAAUGCCCUGCUUCCAGGAAAAGCCUCUAAGCAUCAGGUAACAUCAAAUCGUACCCCAAACCGACACAGGUGGUCAGGUAGAGAAUACCAAGGCGCUUGAGAGAACUCGGGUGAAGGAACUAGGCAAAAUGGUGCCGUAACUUCGGGAGAAGGCACGCUGACACGUAGGUGAAGUGAUUUACUCACGGAGCUGAAGUCAGUCGAAGAUACCAGCUGGCUGCAACUGUUUAUUAAAAACACAGCACUGUGCAAACACGAAAGUGGACGUAUACGGUGUGACGCCUGCCCGGUGCCGGAAGGUUAAUUGAUGGGGUCAGCGCAAGCGAAGCUCCUGAUCGAAGCCCCGGUAAACGGCGGCCGUAACUAUAACGGUCCUAAGGUAGCGAAAUUCCUUGUCGGGUAAGUUCCGACCUGCACGAAUGGCGUAAUGAUGGCCAGGCUGUCUCCACCCGAGACUCAGUGAAAUUGAACUCGCUGUGAAGAUGCAGUGUACCCGCGGCAAGACGGAAAGACCCCGUGAACCUUUACUAUAGCUUGACACUGAACAUUGAGCCUUGAUGUGUAGGAUAGGUGGGAGGCUUUGAAGUGUGGACGCCAGUCUGCAUGGAGCCGACCUUGAAAUACCACCCUUUAAUGUUUGAUGUUCUAACGUGGACCCGUAAUCCGGGUUGCGGACAGUGUCUGGUGGGUAGUUUGACUGGGGCGGUCUCCUCCUAAAGAGUAACGGAGGAGCACGAAGGUUGGCUAAUCCUGGUCGGACAUCAGGAGGUUAGUGCAAUGGCAUAAGCCAGCUUGACUGCGAGCGUGACGGCGCGAGCAGGUGCGAAAGCAGGUCAUAGUGAUCCGGUGGUUCUGAAUGGAAGGGCCAUCGCUCAACGGAUAAAAGGUACUCCGGGGAUAACAGGCUGAUACCGCCCAAGAGUUCAUAUCGACGGCGGUGUUUGGCACCUCGAUGUCGGCUCAUCACAUCCUGGGGCUGAAGUAGGUCCCAAGGGUAUGGCUG
rnacentral:rRNA from 1 species